rnacentral:rRNA from 1 species
GACGAACGCUGGCGGCGUGCUUAACACAUGCAAGUCGAACGGAAAGGCCCUGCUUUUGUGUGGUGCUCGAGUGGCGAACGGGUGAGUAACCCGUGAGCAACCUGCCCUGUACUUUGGGAUAACUUCAGGAAACUGGUGCUAAUGCCGGAUAGGAGCUCCUGCUGCAUGGUGGGGGUUGGAACGUUUCGGCGGUUGGGGAUGGACUCGCGGCUUAUUAGCUUGUUGGUGGGGGAGUGGCUUACCAAGGCUUUGACGGGUAGCCGGCCUGAGAGGGUGACCGGCCACAUUGGGACUAAGAUACGGCCCAGACUCCUACGGGAGGCAGCAGUGGGGAAUAUUGCACAAUGGGCGGAAGCCUGAUGCAGCAACGCCGCGUGCGGGAUGACGGCCUUCGGGUUGUAAACCGCUUUAGCCUGUGACGAAGCGUGAGUGACGGUAAUGGGUAAAGAAGCACCGGCUAACUACGUG